GACGAACGCUGGCGGCGUGCUUAACACAUGCAAGUCGACAUGAGUGGCGAACGGGUGAGUAAUACGUGGGUAACCUGCCCUACUUUUUUGGAUAAGCCUUGGAAACGGGGUCUAAUACCGAACAAAGGGGGAUGGGCUCGCGGCCUAUCCGCUUGUUGGGGGGGUGAUGGCCUACCAAGGCGGUGACGGGUCGCGGGCCUGAGAGGGGGCACUGGGACAUUGGAACUGAGAUGCGGCCCAGACUCGUACGGGAGGGGGAAGUGGGGGAAAUUGGAGAAAGGGCGAAAGCGUGAUGCAGCGACGCCGAGUGGGGGAUGAGGGCUGUCGAGUUGUAAAGCUAUUUCGCAAUCGAACGGGUAUGUGGAGAGGAAGCGCCGGCUAACUACGUGCCAGCAGCCGCGGUAAUAC
rnacentral:rRNA from 1 species